rnacentral:rRNA from 1 species
CGCGAAUGGCUCAUUACAACAGCUAAAAUUUACUCGAUCUUGACACAAUCCUACUUGGAUAACUGUGGUAAUUCUAGAGCUAAUACAGGCAUUAAAGCUCUGACCUUCGGGGAAGAGUGCAUUUAUUAGAACAAAACCAAGCGGCUUCGGCUGUUUUCGGUUGACUCAUAGUAACUGAGCUGAUCGCAUGGUCUUGCACCGGCGACGUGUCGUUCAAGUAUCUGCCGUAUCAACUUUCGAUGGUAGUGUAUCUGACUACCAUGGUGAUCACGCGUAACGGAGAAUAAGGGUUCGACUCCGGAGAGUUCGCCUGAGAAAUCGCGAACACAUCUAAGGAAGGCAGCAGGCGCGAAAAUUACCCACUCUCAGCACGAGGAGGUAGUGACGAAAAAUAACGAGACCGUUCUCUUAUGAGGCCGGUCAUCGGAAUGGGUACAAUUUAAACCCUUUAACGAGUAUCUAUGAGAGGGCAAGUCUGGUGCCAGCAGCCGCGGUAAUUCCAGCU